rnacentral:rRNA from 1 species
AGUGAACGCUGGCGGUAGGCCUAACACAUGCAAGUCGAACGGCAGCACAGUAAGAGCUUGCUCUUACGGGUGGCGAGUGGCGGACGGGUGAGGAAUACAUCGGAAUCUACUUUUUCGUGGGGGAUAACGUAGGGAAACUUACGCUAAUACCGCAUACGACCUACGGGUGAAAGCAGGGGAUCUUCGGACCUUGCGCGAUUGAAUGAGCCGAUGUCGGAUUAGCUAGUUGGCGGGGUAAAGGCCCACCAAGGCGACGAUCCGUAGCUGGUCUGAGAGGAUGAUCAGCCACACUGGAACUGAGACAAGGUCCAGACUCCUACGGGAGGCAGCAGUGGGGAAUAUUGGACAAUGGGCGCAAGACUGAACCAGCCAUACCGCGUGGGUGAAGAAGGCCUUCGGGUUGUAAAACCCUUUUGUUGGGAAAGAAAAGCAGCAGGUUAAAACCCCGCUGUUCUGACGGUACCCAAAGAAUAAGCAACGGCUAAAUUCGUG